rnacentral:rRNA from 1 species
GAUUAAGUUAUUAAGGGCGCACGGUGGAUGCCUUGGCACUAGAAGCCGAUGAAGGACGUUACUAACGACGAUAUGCUUUGGGGAGCUGUAAGUAAGCUUUGAUCCAGAGAUUUCCGAAUGGGGAAACCCAGCAUGAGUUAUGUCAUGUUAUCGAUAUGUGAAUACAUAGCAUAUCAGAAGGCACACCCGGAGAACUGAAACAUCUUAGUACCCGGAGGAAGAGAAAGAAAAUUCGAUUCCCUUAGUAGCGGCGAGCGAAACGGGAAGAGCCCAAACCAACAAGCUUGCUUGUUGGGGUUGUAGGACACUCUAUACGGAGUUACAAAGGACGACAUUAGACGAAUCAUCUGGAAAGAUGAAUCAAAGAAGGUAAUAAUCCUGUAGUCGAAAAUGUUGUCUCUCUUGAGUGGAUCCUGAGUACGACGGAGCACGUGAAAUUCCGUCGGAAUCUGGGAGGACCAUCUCCUAAGGCUAAAUACUCUCUAGUGACCGAUAGUGAACCAGUACCGUGAGGGAAAGGUGAAAAGCACCCCGGAAGGGGAGUGAAAUAGAACCUGAAACCGUGUGCUUACAAGUAGUCAGAGCCCGUUAAUGGGUGAUGGCGUGCCUUUUGUAGAAUGAACCGGCGAGUUACGAUUUGAUGCAAGGUUAAGCAGUAAAUGUGGAGCCGUAGCGAAAGCGAGUCUGAAUAGGGCGUUUAGUAUUUGGUCGUAGACCCGAAACCAGGUGAUCUACCCUUGGUCAGGUUGAAGUUCAGGUAACACUGAAUGGAGGACCGAACCGACUUACGUUGAAAAGUGAGCGGAUGAACUGAGGGUAGCGGAGAAAUUCCAAUCGAACCUGGAGAUAGCUGGUUCUCUCCGAAAUAGCUUUAGGGCUAGCCUCAAGUGAUGAUUAUUGGAGGUAGAGCACUGUUUGGACGAGGGGCCCCUCUCGGGUUACCGAAUUCAGACAAACUCCGAAUGCCAAUUAAUUUAACUUGGGAGUCAGAACAUGGGUGAUAAGGUCCGUGUUCGAAAGGGAAACAGCCCAGACCACCAGCUAAGGUCCCAAAAUAUAUGUUAAGUGGAAAAGGAUGUGGCGUUGCCCAGACAACUAGGAUGUUGGCUUAGAAGCAGCCAUCAUUUAAAGAGUGCGUAAUAGCUCACUAGUCGAGUGACACUGCGCCGAAAAUGUACCGGGGCUAAACAUAUUACCGAAGCUGUGGAUUGUCCUUUGGACAAUGGUAGGAGAGCGUUCUAAGGGCGUUGAAGCAUGAUCGUAAGGACAUGUGGAGCGCUUAGAAGUGAGAAUGCCGGUGUGAGUAGCGAAAGACGGGUGAGAAUCCCGUCCACCGAUUGACUAAGGUUUCCAGAGGAAGGCUCGUCCGCUCUGGGUUAGUCGGGUCCUAAGCUGAGGCCGACAGGCGUAGGCGAUGGAUAACAGGUUGAUAUUCCUGUACCACCUAUAAUCGUUUUAAUCGAUGGGGGGACGCAGUAGGAUAGGCGAAGCGUGCGAUUGGAUUGCACGUCUAAGCAGUAAGGCUGAGUAUUAGGCAAAUCCGGUACUCGUUAAGGCUGAGCUGUGAUGGGGAGAAGACAUUGUGUCUUCGAGUCGUUGAUUUCACACUGCCGAGAAAAGCCUCUAGAUAGAAAAUAGGUGCCCGUACCGCAAACCGACACAGGUAGUCAAGAUGAGAAUUCUAAGGUGAGCGAGCGAACUCUCGUUAAGGAACUCGGCAAAAUGACCCCGUAACUUCGGGAGAAGGGGUGCUCUUUAGGGUUAACGCCCAGAAGAGCCGCAGUGAAUAGGCCCAAGCGACUGUUUAUCAAAAACACAGGUCUCUGCUAAACCGUAAGGUGAUGUAUAGGGGCUGACGCCUGCCCGGUGCUGGAAGGUUAAGAGGAGUGGUUAGCUUCUGCGAAGCUACGAAUCGAAGCCCCAGUAAACGGCGGCCGUAACUAUAACGGUCCUAAGGUAGCGAAAUUCCUUGUCGGGUAAGUUCCGACCCGCACGAAAGGCGUAACGAUUUGGGCACUGUCUCAACGAGAGACUCGGUGAAAUCAUAGUACCUGUGAAGAUGCAGGUUACCCGCGACAGGACGGAAAGACCCCGUGGAGCUUUACUGUAGCCUGAUAUUGAAAUUCGGCACAGCUUGUACAGGAUAGGUAGGAGCCUUUGAAACGUGAGCGCUAGCUUACGUGGAGGCGCUGGUGGGAUACUACCCUAGCUGUGUUGGCUUUCUAACCCGCACCACUUAUCGUGGUGGGAGACAGUGUCAGGCGGGCAGUUUGACUGGGGCGGUCGCCUCCUAAAAGGUAACGGAGGCGCUCAAAGGUUCCCUCAGAAUGGUUGGAAAUCAUUCAUAGAGUGUAAAGGCAUAAGGGAGCUUGACUGCGAGACCUACAAGUCGAGCAGGGUCGAAAGACGGACUUAGUGAUCCGGUGGUUCCGCAUGGAAGGGCCAUCGCUCAACGGAUAAAAGCUACCCCGGGGAUAACAGGCUUAUCUCCCCCAAGAGUUCACAUCGACGGGGAGGUUUGGCACCUCGAUGUCGGCUCAUCGCAUCCUGGGGCUGUAGUCGGUCCCAAGGGUUGGGCUGUUCGCCCAUUAAAGCGGUACGCGAGCUGGGUUCAGAACGUCGUGAGACAGUUCGGUCCCUAUCCGUCGUGGGCGUAGGAAAUUUGAGAGGAGCUGUCCUUAGUACGAGAGGACCGGGAUGGACAUACCUCUGGUGUACCAGUUGUCGUGCCAACGGCAUAGCUGGGUAGCUAUGUGUGGACGGGAUAAGUGCUGAAAGCAUCUAAGCAUGAAGCCCUCCUCAAGAUGAGAUUUCCCAACUUCGGUUAUAAGAUCCCUCAAAGAUGAUGAGGUUAAUAGGUUCGAGGUGGAAGCAUGGUGACAUGUGGAGCUGACGAAUACUAAUCGAUCGAAGACUUAAUCAA